rnacentral:rRNA from 1 species
AUAUCAAUAAGCGGAGGAAGAGAAACUAACAAGGAUUCCCCUAGUAACUGCGAGUGAAGCGGGAAGAGCUCAAAUUUAAAAUCUGGCGGUCUUGUGGCCGUCCGAGUUGUAGUCUGGAGAAGUGUUAUCCGCGUCGGACCGUGUACAAGUCUCCUGGAAUGGAGCGUCAUAGAGGGUGAGAAUCCCGUCCAUGACACGGACGCCCGAUGCUCUGUGAGGCACUCUCGAAGAGUCGAGUUGUUUGGGAAUGCAGCUCAAAAUGGGUGGUAAAUUCCAUCUAAAGCUAAAUAUUGGCGAGAGACCGAUAGCGCACAAGUA